rnacentral:rRNA from 1 species
UACGUAGGGGGCAAGCGUUGUCCGGAAUCAUUGGGCGUAAAGAGCGUGUAGGCGGCCCGGUAAGUCCGCUGUGAAAGUCCAGGGCUCAACCCUGGGAUGCCGGUGGAUACUGUCGGGCUCGAGUCCGGAAGAGGAGUGUGGAAUUCCUGGUGUAGCGGUGAAAUGCGCAGAUAUCAGGAGGACACCAAUGGCGAAGGCAGCACUCUGGGACGUGACUGACGCUGAGACGCGAAAGCGUGGGGAGCAAACAGG